rnacentral:rRNA from 1 species
AUGAAUAUGUCCCUGAUGGCGCCAUACACGGAGGAGGUACGAAAGGCUCUCUUUUCUAUUGGAGAUUUCAAGGCACCAGGACCAGAUGGCCUUCACGCGAUCUUUUAUAAACAGUUCUGGUCUAUGUUGGGUGAUGACCUGGUUAUGGAAGUUCUCAAUGCGGUCAAUUCCCGGGUUAUGCCACAAGGGUCGAAUGACACUACUAUUGUCAUGAUCCCAAAAGUAAAUUCCCCGGAAAAAGUUACUCAAUUCAGACCGAUCAGUUUAUGCAAUGUGGUACACAAGUUAAUUUCUAAGAUGAUAGCUGCGAGACUCAGGGUGUUACUCCCAGAGAUCAUUAGCCCUACCCAGAGUGCCUUUGUUCCUGGUCGACUCAUUACGUAUAAUGUGCUCAUAGCUUACGAGUUUACAUGCAAUAAAACAAAAAAGGUGGGCAAAGAUUGUUGGUGUGCGGUGAAACUUGAUGCGCAUAAAGCCUAUGACAGAGUUGAGUGGGUUUUCCUGGAAGCAAUGUUGUUGAAGCUGGGAUUCCAUGAGGACUGGGUUAAGAUGAUAAUCUUGUGUGUGUCUUCUGUUGAAUAUAAGGUGAGAUAUAAUUCAGUGGAGACGGAAUAUUUCAAACCCUCCAGAGGUCUUCGACAAGGUGACCCACUCUCUCUGUAUCUAUUUCUCCUAUGUAUGGAGGGUUUGACAGCCCUACUUUCACAUGUGGAACAGAGUGGAGAGUUAAUGGGGGUCAAGGUUUGUAGAGAUGCACCCAUGGUAACAAAUCUACUCUUUGGUGAUGAUUCAUUAAUUUUGAUGAAAGCUAAUAUUCAGAAUUCAAUGAGCUUGAGAUCAAUUUUGGAUUUAUAUUGUGCUGCAUCCGGGAAACUUGUUAGUGUGGACAAAUCAAAUAUCUUUUUUAGUCCCAGCACGGAGGUAAAUAUGAAGGCUCAGAUUUGCUCUUGUUUGAAUAUCAUGACCAAGGCCUUAAAUGAUAAGUAUCUGGGACUGUCUGCUACUCUUGGACUUGAUAAAAGUGACAGUUUUCAAUAUCUAAUAGAUCGGUUAAUUAUGAAGCUUACGGGGUAGAAGGAGAAGUGUCUCUCUUAAGGAGGGAAAGGAGUUCUUAUUAAGUCUGUUGCUCAAGCAAUACCAUCUUAUGCGACGUCAGUCUUUCAAAUUCCUAAGAAAAUUUGUAAAGGAAUCACAGAUGCGAUAUCUCGUUUUUGGUGGGGUGAUGACGCAACUCAUAAGAGGAUGCACUGGUUUUCAUGGUGGAAGAUGUGCAUUCCCAAGAAAAAAGGGGGUAUGGGCUUCAGAGAUAUUCGCUGCUUUAAUCUUGCACUUCUGGCAAAACAAGCAUGGCGCCUUAUUGACAACCCGGACUCUUUUUGUGCGUUGAUCCUUAAGGCAAUAUAUUUUUCUGAUGGAGAUCUCAUGAAUGCAACUUUAAAAAAGAAGGCUUCAUAUACAUGGCGGAGUAUUAGGGCCAGAGUUGAUACGCUCAGACAUGGGUAUAUUUAUAGAGUUGGUGAUGGUGAGAAAAUUAGAAUAUGGGAUGAUCCCUGGAUACCGCAGAGCCCAACAAGAAAGGUGAUUUCACUAAGGGGCAACAAUCUUCUUUCUAGAGUUUCUGACCUCAUUGAUCCGGUGACAGGGAGUGGGAUGAGCAGCUGGUUAACCAAAUGUUCUGGCAAUUGGAUGCUCGAAGGAUUUUGGCCAUUCCACUACCAUUACAUGAGAUGA